rnacentral:tRNA from 1 species
GGGGCUAUCGCCAAGUGGUAAGGCACAGCACUUUGACUGCUGCAUGCGUUGGUUCGAAUCCAACUAGCCCUG